UAGUCCACGCCGUAAACGAUGUCUACUUGGAGGUUGGAACCUUGAGUUCUGGCUUUCGGAGCUAACGCAUUAAGUAGACCGCCUGGGGAGUACGGUCGCAAGAUUAAAACUCAAAUGAAUUGACGGGGCCCGCACAAGCGGUGGAGCAUGUGGUUUAAUUCGAUGCAACGCGAAGAACCUUACCUACUCUUGACAUCCAGAGAACUUAGCAGAGAUGCUUUGGUGCCUUCGGGAACUCUGAGACAGGUGCUGCAUGGCUGUCGUCAGCUCGUGUUGUGAAAUGUUGGGUUAAGUCCCGCAACGAGCGCAACCCUUAUCCUUGUUUGCCAGCGAGUAAUGUCGGGAACUCCAGGGAGACUGCCGGUGAUAAACCGGGAGGAAGGGUGGGGACGACGUCAAGUCAUCAUGGCCCUUACGAGUAGGGGCUACACACGUGCUACAAUGGCGCAUACAGAGGGCGG
rnacentral:rRNA from 1 species